UUCAGUAGGGACGAAGCGUAAGUGACAGUACCUACAGAAGAAGCACCGGCCAACUACGUGCCAGCAGCCGCGGUAAUACGUAGGGUGCAAGCGUUGUCCGGAAUUAUUGGGCGUAAAGAGCUCGUAGGCGGUCUGUCGCGUCGGCUGUGAAAACCCGGAGCUCAACUCCGGGCCUGCAGUCGAUACGGGCAAACUGGAGUACUGCAGGGGAGACUGGAAUUCCUGGUGUAGCGGUGAAAUGCGCAGAUAUCAGGAGGAACACCGAUGGCGAAGGCAGGUCUCUGGGCCACUACUGACGCUGAGAAGCGAAAGCAUGGGGAGCGAACAGGAUUAGAUACCCUGGUAGUCCAUGCCGUAAACGUUGGGCGCUAGGUGUGGGACUCAUUCCACGAGUUCCGUGCCGCAGCUAACGCAUUAAGCGCCCCGCCUGGGGAGUACGGCCGCAAGGCUAAAACUCAAAGGAAUUGACGGGGGCCCGCACAAGCGGCGGAGCAUGCGGAUUAAUUCGAUGCAACGCGAAGAACCUUACCAAGGCUUGACAUAUACCGGAAACAUCUGGAGACAGGUGCCCCGCAAGGUCGGUAUACAGGUGGUGCAUGGUUGUCGUCAGCUCGUGUCGU
rnacentral:rRNA from 1 species